rnacentral:rRNA from 1 species
GGGGGAUAUUGCACAAUGGAGGGAACUCUGAUGCAGCGACGCCGCGUGAGGGAAGAAGGUCUUCGGAUUGUAAACCUUUGUCCUUGGUGACGAAACAAAUGACGGUAGCCAAGGAGGAAGCUCCGGCUAACUACGUGCCAGCAGCCGCGGUAAUACGUAGGGAGCAAGCGUUGUCCGGAUUUACUGGGUGUAAAGGGUGCGUAGGCGGCUCUGCAAGUCAGGCGUGAAAACUAUGGGCUUAACCCAUAGACUGCGUUUGAAACUGUGGGGCUUGAGUGAAGUAUAGGUAGGCGGAAUUCCCGGUGUAGCGGUGAAAUGCGUAGAGAUCGGGAGGAACACCAGUGGCGAAGGCGGUCUACUGGGCUUUAACUGACGCUGAAGCACGAACGCAUGGGUAGCAAAC